CCGUUACCCUAGAUUUCCUCCUGACCUGUCUCACUCCCUCACUCCUACUCCCUCCCGAGCCGCCGCCGCUCCCCACAUCAGCCCCGCCUCCUCCGGUGCCGACCUCGCCUCCGCCCGUCCCUGCCUCCCCAUCGCGCUGACCCCCGCCUCCCCAUCGUGCCUCCCUGCCUCUCCUCCACCGGCCCGGCCUCCCCAUCGCGCCCCCUGCUCUCCCCCAUCCUGGAUCCCAUCCCCGAGCCGCCGCCAGUCCCCUCGCCCCUCUCCUCCGCCGCCCCCGCCCCUGUUCUCCUCUGCCCUCGCGCCGCCCCCCGCCUCCCUCGAUCCGCCACAGACGACCCCCGCCUCGUCGGAUCCGCCACGGGCCGCCGCCAGCAAGAUAGGAGAGGCCGGAUCCGCCGCCCCUGAGCCCGCGCGCCGCCGGAUCAGCCGCCGUCGACCUCCUCGCUGGUCGGAUCCGUCGCCCUCGUGCCCGAGCGUCGCCGGAUCCGGCCUCCCCUAUCUCAAGCGCCUGACACAGGUGUUGAUGCAGAAAGAGAGUCACUUAGAGAUUUUCAACCAUUACAAUUCCACUAUAUUGGAAUAUCUAAGCUUCUGUUUAAUCAUGCUUGUGAUGACAUCUCAGAUGCAUACUUGGUGAGAUUUUUUAUUGAGGACAUCAGAGAUGUCAGGUUCCAUAAGGUUGAGACUGGAUUGUAGAAAAUCUCUGGCCGUAUAUCUAAGAAGAUCAAAGCCAACCAGACCUUACAAACAUGACUGACUCAUGCUCUGAAGAGGCUAAGACGCAGAUAACAAGCAAGACAUGCAUGUAUCAGUCACUUGUAUUUGCAGAUGAUUUACUACAUAUCUGUGGAUUGCAGUAAAUUGGAGGACUAAACAGGAACCUACCCUAAGAGUUCCUAUUUACCUUAAACAGGAACUAUUCCGAACUAUCACCUCCUACAAUCGACGCGGGCGAGCCCGCGGCACCUCCUCCCGACGCGCCCACCGGCUACCACCUUCUUCCCCCGGCGCGGGCGAGCGAGUGGUGGCGGAGGCCGAUGCGAGAGAGCCCGGGAGAGCUACCUCCCGGUCGCGGCUGAGCGGACCUUCUUCUCCGGCACGGGCGGGCGAGCGGCGGCGGAGGCAAUCGAUAGUUUUACGAUAUAUUUUGAACCGCUUGUCGGAAUGAUGCAAAUUAUACGGCGUUGGAAAGCUAUGAACCAGGCGCAACUUUUUUGUUUAUAACGUUUUUGCUAAUUCUUAACGGUUUAAGAGCAGUUUGCAAAUUACCGUCCGACAAAUUACGACCAAACAAAAAACAGCGGACGGUAUUUUUACGAUAUAUUUUGAAGCACUUGUCGGAAUUAUGCAAAUGAUACGGUUGGAAAGUUAUGAACUA